AUUCAGUGACGAGUCCCAAAUAGGACGAAAUUCCAAUCCUGGAU
rnacentral:hammerhead_ribozyme from 1 species